AGUGAACGCUGGCGGUAUGCCUAACACAUGCAAGUCGAACGACAGCACAGUAAGAGCUUGCUCUUACGGGUGGCGAGUGGCGGACGGGUGAGGAAUACAUCGGAAUCUACUUUUUCGUGGGGGAUAACGUAGGGAAACUUACGCUAAUACCGCAUACGACCUACGUGUGAAAGCAGGGGAUCUUCGGACCUUGCGCGAUUGAAUGAGCCGAUGUCGGAUUAGCUAGUUGGCGGGGUAAAGGCCCACCAAGGCGACGAUCCGUAGCUGGUCAGAGAGGACGAGCACCCACACUGGAAGGGAGGCACGGCUGGGAAUCCUACGGGAGGGGGCAGAAGCGAAUACUGGACAAUCGGCGAGGGCCUAAACCGGCUAUGCGUCGUGAGGGAUUUUUGUCGGAAAAGAAAAAAGCUCGGUUACCCCCCAGGAUUUUGACAGUACCCAAAAAAUAAGCCCCGGCUAACUCCGUG
rnacentral:rRNA from 1 species